rnacentral:rRNA from 1 species
GCAGGCUUACACAUGCACGCUCGACGAUGACUCUCUAGCUUGCUAGAGAAGAUUAGUGGCGGACGGGUGAGUAACAUUUAGGAAUCUGCCUAGUAGUGGGGGAUAGCUCGGGGAAACUCGAAUUAAUACCGCAUACGACCUACGGGUGAAAGGGGGCGCAAGCUCUUGCUAUUAGAUGAGCCUAAAUCAGAUUAGCUAGUUGGUGGGGUAAAGGCCCACCAAGGCGACGAUCUGUAACUGGUCUGAGAGGAUGAUCAGUCACACCGGAACUGAGACACGGUCCGGACUCCUACGGGAGGCAGCAGUGGGGAAUAUUGGACAAUGGGGGCAACCCUGAUCCAGCCAUGCCGCGUGUGUGAAGAAGGCCUUUUGGUUGUAAAGCACUUUAAGCAGGGAGGAGAGGCUAAUGGUUAAUACCCAUUAGAUUAGACGUUACCUGCAGAAUAAGCACCGGCUAACUCUGUGCCAGCAGCCGCGGUAAUACAGAGGGUGCGAGCGUUAAUCGGAAUUACUGGGCGUAAAGCGAGUGUAGGUGGCUCAUUAAGUCACAUGUGAAAUCCCCGGGCUUAACCUGGGAACUGCAUGUGAUACUGGUGGUGCUAGAAUAUGUGAGAGGGAAGUAGAAUUCCAGGUGUAGCGGUGAAAUGCGUAGAGAUCUGGAGGAAUACCGAUGGCGAAGGCAGCUUCCUGGCAUAAUAUUGACACUGAGAUUCGAAAGCGUGGGUAGCAAACAGGAUUAGAUACCCUGGUAGUCCACGCCGUAAACGAUGUCUACUAGCCGUUGGGGUCCUUGAGACUUUAGUGGCGCAGUUAACGCGAUAAGUAGACCGCCUGGGGAGUACGGCCGCAAGGUUAAAACUCAAAUGAAUUGACGGGGGCCCGCACAAGCGGUGGAGCAUGUGGUUUAAUUCGAUGCAACGCGAAGAACCUUACCUGGUCUUGACAUAGUGAGAAUCCUGCAGAGAUGCGGGAGUGCCUUCGGGAAUUCACAUACAGGUGCUGCAUGGCUGUCGUCAGCUCGUGUCGUGAGAUGUUGGGUUAAGUCCCGCAACGAGCGCAACCCUUUUCCUUAUUUGCCAGCGGGUUAAGCCGGGAACUUUAAGGAUACUGCCAGUGACAAACUGGAGGAAGGCGGGGACGACGUCAAGUCAUCAUGGCCCUUACGACCAGGGCUACACACGUGCUACAAUGGUAGGUACAGAGGGUUGCUACACAGCGAUGUGAUGCUAAUCUCAAAAAGCCUAUCGUAGUCCGGAUUGGAGUCUGCAACUCGACUCCAUGAAGUCGGAAUCGCUAGUAAUCGCAGAUCAGAAUGCUGCGGUGAAUACGUUCCCGGGCCUUGUACACACCGCCCGUCACACCAUGGGAGUCUAUGCACCAGAAGUAGGAGCCUAACGCAAGAGGGCGGUACCGCGGGUUGGCG